GUGCUCCUGUGGCCUAUUGGUUAGAGUGUCCGCCUUCGAUGCGGGAGGUCGUGGGUUCGAUCCCCGGUCAAGUCAUA